rnacentral:rRNA from 1 species
GGAUCGUAAACCUCUUUUAUAAGGGAAUAAAGUGCGGGACGUGUCCUAUUUUGUAUGUACCUUAUGAAUAAGGAUCGGCUAACUCCGUGCCAGCAGCCGCGGUAAUACGGAGGAUCCGAGCGUUAUCCGGAUUUAUUGGGUUUAAAGGGUGCGUAGGCGGCCUUUUAAGUCAGCGGUGAAAGUCUGUGGCUCAACCAUAGAAUUGCCGUUGAAACUGGGGGGCUUGAGUAUGUUUGAGGCAGGCGGAAUGCGUGGUGUAGCGGUGAAAUGCUUAGAUAUCACGCAGAACCCCGAUUGCGAAGGCAGCCUGCCAAGCCAUGACUGACGCUGAUGCACGAAAGCGUGGGGAUCAAACAGGAUUAGAUACCCUGGUAGUCCACGCAGUAAACGAUGAUCACUAGCUGUUUGCGAUACAGUGUAAGCGGCACAGCGAAAGCGUUAAGUGAUCCACCUGGGGAGUA